UUUUGGACAAUGGGCGCAAGCCUGAUCCAGCAAUGCCGCGUGGGUGAAGAAGGCCUUCGGGUUGUAAAGCUCUUUUGUCAGGGAAGAAACGGUGAGCUCUAAUACAGUUUGCUAAUGACGGUACCUGAAGAAUAAGCACCGGCUAACUACGUGCCAGCAGCCGCGGUAAUACGUAGGGUGCAAGCGUUAAUCGGAAUUACUGGGCGUAAAGCGUGCGCAGGCGGUUAUGUAAGUCAGAUGUGAAAUCCCCGGGCUCAACCUGGGAAUGGCAUUUGAGACUGCAUGGCUAGAGUGUGUCAGAGGGGGGUAGAAUUUCACGUGUAGCAGUGAAAUGCGUAGAGAUGUGGAGGAAUACCGAUGGCGAAGGCAGCCCCCUGGGAUAACACUGACGCUCAUCACGAA
rnacentral:rRNA from 1 species